rnacentral:sRNA from 1 species
AGACCCCCGCGGGCUUGAUCUAAGCAAGGUUCUGAGUGCUUUAAUUUCUGUUUUAAAGGUAAAGUGGAAUUGCAUGGGAAAAUCAUGGAAGUUGAUUACUCAGUCUCUAAAAAGCUAAGGAGCAGGAAAAUCCAGAUUCGAAACAUCCCUCCUCACCUGCAGUGGGAGGUGUUGGAUGGACUUCUGGCUCAGUAUGGGACAGUGGAGAAUGUGGAACAAGCCUAAAGAAGUAAUUCAGAAGAACACACAAUCCAGUGAUGUUUGCAACAAAGUCAACACGGACACAGAAACCGCUGUUGUCAACGUCACAUAUGCAAGAAGAGAAGAAGCAAAAAUAGCCGUGGAGAAGCUGAGCGGGCAUCAGUUUGAGAACUACUCCUUCAAGAUUUCCUACAUCCCGGAUGAAGAGGUGAGCUCCCCUUCGCCCCCUCAGCGAGCCCAGCGUGGGGACCACUCUUCCCGGGAGCAAGGCCACGCCCCUGGGGGCACUUCUCAGGCCAGACAGAUUG